rnacentral:rRNA from 1 species
CAGUCGCCACGGUAAUACGAAGGGGGCUAGCGUUGCUCGGAAUGACUGGGCGUAAAGGGCGCGUAGGCGGCGAUCAAAGUCAGGCGUGAAAUUCCUGGGCUCAACCUGGGGGCUGCGCUUGAUACUUGGUUGCUUGAGUGGGGAAGAGGGUCGUGGAAUUCCCAGUGUAGAGGUGAAAUUCAUAGAUAUUGGGAAGAACACCGGUGGCGAAGGCGGCGACCUGGUCCUUGACUGACGCUGAGGCGCGAAAGCGUGGGGAGCAAACAGGAUUAGAUACCCCAGUAGUCCCUGUCUCUUAUAC